rnacentral:rRNA from 1 species
UACGUAGGGGGCAAGCGUUGUCCGGAAUCAUUGGGCGUAAAGCGCGUGUAGGCGGCCCGGUAAGUCCGCUGUGAAAGUCGGGGGCUCAACCCUCGAAUGCCGGUGGAUACUGUCGGGCUAGAGUGCGGAAGAGGCGAGUGGAAUUCCUGGUGUAGCGGUGAAAUGCGCAGAUAUCAGGAGGAACACCAAUUGCGAAGGCAGCUCGCUGGGACGUGACUGACGCUGAGACGCGAAAGCGUGGGGAGCGAACGGG